GCCUUUGUGUGCGCAGUAUCCCACUGAUGAUGGCGCUGUAAACACUGUGACGCGGCGUUGCGCAAACCACAGAUCGCUGUUGUAUAUGUGGACGAGCUCGAGAUACGCUAUUCACGUCCACAGCUUCAUAUGCAAUCACAUAAACAAAAGACACACGAGGACCGCUCGUCAGGGGUGCAAUGGCAAGGAAAAGUGCAAUUCCUCCUUCAUACUAUGGGGAGCCACACAAAUUUGACCCCACAUUCAGAGGACCUGUUCAUAAAAGGGGCUGCACAGACGUGCUUUGCUGCGUGAUCUUCGUCAUCGUCAUCCUCGGCUACAUCGUUCUGGGAACAGUGGGUGAGUUACAGUCAUUAAU